UACGAAGGGGGCUAGCGUUGCUCGGAAUGACUGGGCGUAAAGGGCGCGUAGGCGGAUUGUACAGUCAGGCGUGAAAUUCCCGGGCUCAACCUGGGGGCUGCGCUUGAGACGUGCGAUCUUGAGUGGGGAAGAGGGUCGUGGAAUUCCCAGUGUAGAGGUGAAAUUCGUAGAUAUUGGGAAGAACACCCGUGGCUAAGGCGGCUCUCUAGUACGGUACUGACGCUGAGACGCGAAAGCGUGGGGAGCGAACAGG
rnacentral:rRNA from 1 species